GAUGAACGCUGGCGGCGUGCCUAAUACAUGCAAGUCGAGCGAACAGACGAGAGUGCUUGCACUCUCUGACGUUAGCGGCGGACGGGUGAGUAACACGUGGGUAACCUACCUAUAAGACUGGGAUAACUUCGGGAAACCGGAGCUAAUACCGGAUAAUAUUUAGCUUCGCAUGAGGCAAUAGUGAAAGACGGUUCUGCUGUCACUUAUAGAUGGACCCGCGGUGUAUUAGCUAGUUGGUGAGGUAACGGCUCACCAAGGCAACGAUACAUAGCCGACCUGAGAGGGUGAUCGGCCACACUGGGACUGAGACACGGCCCAGACUCCUACGGGAGGCAGCAGUAGGGAAUCUUCCGCAAUGGACGAAAGUCUGACGGAGCAAUGCCGCGUGAGUGAAGAAGGUUUUCGGAUCGUAAAACUCUGUUGUAAGGGAAGAACAAGUACGUUAGUAACUGAACGUACCUUGACGGUACCUUACCAGAAAGCCACGGCUAACUACGUG
rnacentral:rRNA from 1 species